GUCUGUAUGAUUGUUAUAUAGAGUCUAGCCUGCCCGCUGAUAUAAAUUGAAGGGCCGCGGUAUUCUGACCGUGCGAAGGUAGCAUAAUCAUUAGUCUUUUAAUUGAAGGCUUGUAUGAAUGGUUGGACAAAAAGCGAGCUGUCUCCUUUAUAGGACUUGAACUUAACUUUUAAGUGAAAAGGCUUAAAUGAUCUAGGGGGACGAUAAGACCCUAUAAAGCUUUACAACAAAAUAAAAUGUACUAUCACUUGUGUGAGUGUAACUUAGUUCAUAUAAAAGUUGUUUCGUUGGGGCGACGAGAAUAUAACAAAAUAACUGUUCUUUAAUAAAAUAUACAGUAAUAAUUGUAUUAAAAUUGAUCCUUUAUUAAAGAUUAAAAGAUUAAGUUACUUUAGGGAUAACAGCGUAAUCUUCUUUAAGAGUUCAGAUCGACAAGAAGGGUUGCGACCUCGAUGUUGAAUUAAGGGUUCCUAGUGGUGCAGCAGUCACGAAGGAGGGUCUGUUCGACCUUUAAAUCCUU
rnacentral:rRNA from 1 species